AUGGAAAAUUGCUUUGCUAAUAAGCAAGCCACCGGGAAUUAUGCAAUGGCCACUGGUGUGCCAUUGGGAACGCCUAUUGUUGUGGAAGACAAAGAUAAACCCAAUGUUAUGGAGGGGCAUGGAACAACUGAUGAGGUAUUGCAACACCUUCCUGGGUCUAACUCUGCACUUCCAACUGCUAGUGCCACUCAGGACCCUUCACCUACUUCAAAUAAGAAGAGAAAGAGGGCAUCAGGUUUGACUGAGGAGGACACAAUCCAGUGCAGUAACAUGACUGAUGCUAUCCGUGAGAUUGCAAGUGCUAUCAACAACACUUGCCAUGCUGAAACACACCCUGACUUGUACAAGGCUGUCAUGGACCUUAUUAUGUUUGAGCAAAAUGAUCGCUUGGCUGUUCUAGAUUAUCUCACAGAACAUAAGGCAAAAGGCCUCAACUUUGUGAAGAUGAAUGAUGAAGCCCGUCAAGCAUCGUUCAAACGUAUCUUGAAAGCCAAUCCUGAUCUUCUUUGA
rnacentral:rRNA from 1 species